CGGGUGAGUAAUGUAUGGGGAUCUGCCUGAUGGCGGGGGAUAACUACUGGAAACGGUAGCUAAUACCGCAUAAUGUCUGCGGACCAAGGCGGGGGACCUCCGGGCCUCGCGCCAUCAGAUGAACCCAUAUGGGAUUAGCUAGUAGGUAAGGUAACGGCUUACCUAGGCGACGAUCCCUAGCUGGUCUGAGAGGAUGAUCAGCCACACUGGAACUGAGACACGGUCCAG
rnacentral:rRNA from 1 species